rnacentral:rRNA from 1 species
AAUGGCCGGAAGGCUGAACCAGCCAUCCCGCGUGCAGGAUGACGGCCCUAUGGGUUGUAAACUGCUUUUGUACCUGAAGAAACCUGUUUACGAGUAGACAGUUGCCGGUAAGGUAUGAAUAAGCAUCGGCUAACUCCGUGCCAGCAGCCGCGGUAAUACGGAGGAUGCAAGCGUUAUCCGGAUUCAUUGGGUUUAAAGGGUGCGCAGGUGGGAAAAUAAGUCAGUGGUGAAAUACUGCCGCUUAACGGUAGAAUUGCCAUUGAUACUGUUUUUCUUGAGUAUGGUUGAGGUAGGUGGAAUGUGUUGUGUAGCGGUGAAAUGCAUAGAUAUGACACAGAACGCCAAUUGCGAAGGCAGCUUACUAAGCCAUUACUGACGCUGAGGCACGAAAGCGUGGGGAUCAAA